CAGGCUUAACACAUGCAAGUCGAGGGGCAGCAUGGUCUUAGCUUGCUAAGGCCGAUGGCGACCGGCGCACGGGUGAGUAACACGUAUCCAACCUGCCGUCUACUCUUGGACAGCCUUCUGAAAGGAAGAUUAAUACAAGAUGGCAUCAUGAGUCCGCAUGUUCACAUGAUUAAAGGUAUUCCGGUAGACGAUGGGGAUGCGUUCCAUUAGAUAGUAGGCGGGGUAACGGCCCACCUAGUCUUCGAUGGAUAGGGGUUCUGAGAGGAAGGUCCCCCACAUUGGAACUGAGACACGGUCCAAACUCCUACGGGAGGCAGCAGUGAAGAAUAUUGGUCAAUGGGCGAGAGCCUGAACCAGCCAAGUAGCGUGAAGGAUGACUGCCCUAUGGGUUGUAAACUUCUUUUAUAAAGGAAUAAAGUCGGGUAUGGAUACCCGUUUGCAUGUACUUUAUGAAUAAGGAUCGGCUAACUCCGUGCCAGCAGCCGCGGUAAUACGGAGGAUCCGAGCGUUAUCCGGAUUUAUUGGGUUUAAAGGGAGCGUAGAUGGAUGUUUAAGUCAGUUGUGAAAGUUUGCGGCUCAACCGUAAAAUUGCAGUUGAUACUGGAUAUCUUGAGUGCAGUUGAGGCAGGCGGAAUUCGUGGUGUAGCGGUGAAAUGCUUAGAUAUCACGAAGAACUCCGAUUGCGAAGGCAGCCUGCUAAGCUGCAACUGACAUUGAGGCUCGAAAGUGUGGGUAUCAAACAGGAUUAGAUACCCUGGUAGUCCACACGGUAAACGAUGAAUACUCGCUGUUUGCGAUAUACUGCAAGCGGCCAAGCGAAAGCGUUAAGUAUUCCACCUGGGGAGUACGCCGGCAACGGUGAAACUCAAAGGAAUUGACGGGGGCCCGCACAAGCGGAGGAACAUGUGGUUUAAUUCGAUGAUACGCGAGGAACCUUACCCGGGCUUAAAUUGCAGAUGAAUUACGGUGAAAGCCGUAAGCCGCAAGGCAUCUGUGAAGGUGCUGUAUGGUUGUCGUCAGCUCGUGCCGUGAGGUGUCGGCUUAAGUGCCAUAACGAGCGCAACCCUUGUUGUCAGUUACUAACAGGUUCCGCUGAGGACUCUGACAAGACUGCCAUCGUAAGAUGUGAGGAAGGUGGGGAUGACGUCAAAUCAGCACGGCCCUUACGUCCGGGGCUACACACGUGUUACAAUGGGGGGUACAGAGGGCCGCUACCACGCGAGUGGAUGCCAAUCCCCAAAACCUCUCUCAGUUCGGACUGGAGUCUGCAACCCGACUCCACGAAGCUGGAUUCGCUAGUAAUCGCGCAUCAGCCACGGCGCGGUGAAUACGUUCCCGGGCCUUGUACACACCGCCCGUCAAGCCAUGGGAGCCGGGGGUACCUGAAGUGCGUAACCGCGAGGAGCGCCCUAGGGUAAAACUGGUGACUGG
rnacentral:rRNA from 1 species